rnacentral:pre_miRNA from 1 species
GGCCAGUUUGGGGGACAGGGCAAGGUGGGCAGUGGCUGACAGUCUGUUUACACUUGCCCUUCUUUUCUCCAGGCUACAGUUCAGUUG